GAAGGCCUUUGAUGUGGAAUGAGCUUUGUUUUGGACCACUGCUCUUUAAGGUUUUCGAGUCAAGAUUGGUGCUGCAAUGAAUUCCUUUUAUGAGUGCAGAAAUGAAGUUUGUUUGGCUGGGAUUCAUCGACUCCCUUUUGUUACCGUUGGCCAUGAAUGGAUGAACCCUAUGUCCGCCGUGCCUGCUUCCCAUCUUUGAAUCAAACAUUAAUACCAUUUGACAGUAAUAAAUAACAUUUAUCACAA